UGAUUGUGAGACGGGUGGUGGUAGAGGUGGUGUUGGUGAUGGUGGAGGCGUGAUGGGGAGGUGAUGGAAAUGGCUACUAGUGGAGCUCUUGGCGUGGCUGGAGGUGGCGGUGGCGGUGGCGGUGAUGAAGGCAGUGAAGUAGAAGGAUGGAUGGGCGACAGCGAUGGAUCGAUGGGCCACUGGAUGGACAGUGACAGGACGUCCAGGAAAGCCUCCUGCUCAACCCUCCUAGCCACUGGUGACAAGCACCCACUGGGUCCCUGGGGUCCUUCCCUCCGAUCCUGACCCAGGGUGAGCCAGGAUGCUGCUAAACCUCCUACAAUGUACGGGACAGCCCUCAGCACAGAGAAGGCCCGGCUCAAGUGCCAACAGUCCUGAAGCCGAGAGCCCCGGUCCACAGCCUGCGUCAUCGUUUGAUGAGCUCAGCUACGUUGGAUGUGUAUUUGUAGUGGGCCAAAGGCAUUCAUCUCUUUAAUGUGAACAUUGAAAACACGCAAGCGUUUAGUGAUUUAUUUAGUUUAUUUUUUUAAAUUUACUUAUUUAUUUAUUUAUUAAUAAAGUGGAAACCGUGAAACGUGAGAGUGGUUCCACACAGAUGGAACAGCGAGCGCAAAGCUUCGGUGCAAUGGGAGAGCACACAGCUGUAGUCCAGUGUGCCUGGGACUGAGGAGACGGUGAGGGGCGCAGGCUGAAGAGAACCAGGGGCUGCAAGGGUCGUGCAAGCCUUAGAUGCCAGCCCAAGAGCUUGGGUCGUGUCCUGGGCUGGGGAGCCCUUGGGAAGAUUUGAAACGGGGGGGAGGACGUGAUCAGUUGCAUGUUCUAGAAAGAUCCCUCCACAGCAAUGCGGUUCAGUGUCAUACCCAACAAACUGGCAGAAAUGGAAAAGUCUGGCAUUACCAGGUGUUGGCAAGGAUGUGGAGGCACUGGAAUUCCCAUGCCCUGCUGGUGGAAACGUAAACUGGAACAACCAGUUUGGAAAAUUCUUUGGCCUUAACUUGUAGGUGUGAGGGUGCCAAGGCCCUUGACUCAGUAAUUCCACUUCUAGGCUUAUCCCUCCAGAGAAGCCCUCACGCUUGGAAAUGGGAGUAAAAACACCCAGUGCUGCUCUGUUUAUAGUAGAAAAUGAGAGAAGGGGCAAAUAUAUUGUUAUAGCUACACAAUAGACUAUUAUACUGCUGGGCUGGCCCCGUGGCCGAGUGGUUAAGUUCGUGCGUUUGGCUUCUGGCAGUCCAGAGUUUCGCCGGUUCGCAUCCUGGGCACAGACAUGGCACUGCUCAUCAAGCCAUGCUGAGGCAGCAUCCCACAUGCCACAGCUAGAAGGACCCACAACCAAAAAUGCACAACUAUGUACCAGGGGACUUUGGGGAGAAAAAGGAAAAAUAAAAUCUUUUUUUUAAAAAAAAAAGAAUAUUAUACUGCAGUGAAAAAGGAAUGAACAAGAACUCGUGUUAGUGUGACUGAAUGUCACAAACGUAAUGGUGAACAAAAAAAGUAAGUCACAGGAAAACAUCUGUUAUGACACCAUUUAUAUAAAGUGUAAAAACAUGCAGAAGAAUUUGGCCUGUGGUUUAAGGAUUCGUACAUAUGUAG
ensembl:lncRNA